rnacentral:rRNA from 1 species
UACGUAGGGGGCUAGCGUUGUCCGGAAUCAUUGGGCGUAAAGAGCGUGUAGGCGGUCCGGUAAGUCCGCUGUGAAAGUCGGGGGCUCAACCCUCGAAUGCCGGUGGAUACUGUCGGGCUAGAGUGCGGAAGAGGCGAGUGGAAUUCCUGGUGUAGCGGUGAAAUGCGCAGAUAUCAGGAGGAACACCUAUUGCGAAGGCAGCUCGCUGGGACGUAACUGACGCUGAGACGCGAAAGCGUGGGGAGAAACAGG